UGGAGUUGGUGGAAGCACUGGAUGCUUCGGCCAACGCAGCCCCACAUAAAUCUCGAAGGCCGACACCCAGUGGCGUUUUUAUUGAACCGGUUACUUGUGAUAAGUGUAAGGGCUGUUCGACAUCUUUUUUAAGAUUUGUUGAAAUCGUGAAACGCAGCAACUCAUGUAUUUUUUCGUCUGCUACGAGUGACUUGUGUAGUUCUGCGAAAUAUUAAUUAAAAAAAAAAAACAGUGAUAGAAAAGGGGGUUAAGACCUCUUAUGAACUCAGAUACUUCAAUAUCAACAAUGAGGAAGAGGAUGAUGAUGAUGACAAGGAAUAAGUUCGUCUCCCCGUUGUUUCGUUUUUUCUGUAAAGUAAUUAACGAUGACCAUUAUAUUUGUACAAUUGUUACUGCAUUAAACUUGACACCAUUCCUUGACGCAUACUUUCAGGGUUAUUUUUACAUAAAAAAAUUGUCAGUAUUAAGAUUAUUCGUAUGGAACUUUAGUAGGCUGUGUACGAAGGGAAUUAUAAUUUUGCAUUAAGAAGAUUCCAGGUUAUGAAGGAACUUGGUCUAAACAUUUGCUAGUAAGAUGUCGGAUCCAUUCAUGUGGUUGCAUGUUUCGAUUUGACCAAUAACUCGUAUCAGACAUGAAGGCUGGGAAGACAGUGAAAGUGAAGUAAAUGCAUUCUGCGUAAAGCAAUCGACCUUCAAUACAACUGUUAUCAAAUUGAGGCAAGUAAAAUAUAAUUAAGUGAAACUAAGCUAAUUUUCUAGAUCUCGAGUAAUAUUUUGUAAAUAUUUAUCUAAACUCAAAAUUGAAAGCCAGACAACAAGUAAUGGAAUGUCAUGUAUAUUUCUCAAUUUACAAAAAUUUCAUCACUUGAAUCAUAACAAAGAGCUUUAUCGACGAUUCAAAUCUAAAUCUUCCAUGAAGGAAGUUAAGUUCAGCCGAAUCUUUUUACUGCCUUGACUUACGCAUUGAAGAAGAUUCAUCAUCUGCCUAGUGAGUAUAUUCCUUCAACAAAGGCAUAAACAAAAUUAUUAGCUGCUGACGACGCGAAUUUCUUAAAUUAAAGACAACGGUAUUAAUGCUAAAUUUGAUUGAGUUACCGUUUGUUCUUGAAUCCAUUUUUCCAAAGAAUUUUCAGGUAAAUAAUAUGCCUUUAUGUAUGUUUCGACAAUAUGUGGGUCAGGAAGAGGUCUUAGACGUGUCAAGCUUUCCACUUUGACUUGAAAAUGCCUGAAGUCUAACUGCAUUAGUGCACGACCUUCGUUCGUGCAUUUCCUUACAGCGGAAAAUCUAAAGAAUUUCAAAUCGGAUACGGUCUUACAUAAAGGAGGCAGAAUCUGAGGGUAACAGACACGAAGGACACUCAAGUCGUAGUCACUGAGAACCUGCGAAAGAAAUAAGAAUUACAUCAUAGAUGGAAUAUGAUUUUUAUAGCUUUUUGUUUCAACAAGAUAUAUGAAGAUAUCUGAGGGAGCAAUUUUUGGAACAAUUGGACAACAGUCUAAACCGUGUUUCCACAGAGAAUUAGGAAUACUAUAUGGACAAUCACUGUUAAACAUUUGUAACUUUUCCAAAUAACGUGUUUUGGCCUCAAUACUAAGUCCACUGGCAUAAUUAGACAGUGACAUAGUUAAACACUAA